AGUGAAUAUAGGGUAGAAUUAUAUUGUGUUGAUGACCCGAACUACACAACACGUGUACAAUUUGCAAACACACAUUUGUAUAAACUGAAUAGACUCAUGUUCGGCAAAUUAAAUAUUAUCAAAACCAAAAUCUAUAUUUCCAUACCCCCAAGGCAGCCACCAACAAAAUCCACAACAUUUUCGUUCAUUUCCAAGUGUUUCAGCCAAAAAAAUUGGCAAAACUAGAGGUCCAAAGGUUACCAGACAUCACCAGUACAUUUACUCUCGAUCGAAAAU